AUCGGAUGUCUCACAUAGCGAACAUAGCGGUCUUUAAAGUGCUGCAGAUUAUAUAAUGAGGACAGUCAACAACAGCAGAGUUCAGCCUGGGUGAAGAUGGACAGGAAAGGGGGGACACCAUGCAGCCACCGGUUGGAUUCGAACCCGAGACGCUGCCAUAAGGCCCACCAGGUGAGCUACCCUUCGUCCUGGACCCGCUUUUCUGCACCCCCCCCUCCGGGCCAUCUGUAAGGCGCAGCGGUGAAGUCCUCCAGAACCUCUGCCCUCUGGCGUGGGAGCCCACUACCGAUCAGCAUGAGGUCAUUAUCCAAUAAGACCUUCAUCCUCAACGACUUCUUCACCGCCCGUAGGUUGGACUUCUUACUGGUGACAGAAACCUUUUUAGCUCACUUAGAUCCUCCUGGACGCGGUGGACGAGCUGCUCCUCUCGGUCGACUCUCGGGACUGUGGCAUCCUGAUUCUGACCUCAGUGCGGCCUCUGAUACAGUGGCUCAUGGUCUUCUAUUAGACUUUACCAGACCUCCGGUACAGGGUUGAACUGGUUCACAUUCUACCUCAAAGACAGAAGCUUCUCCAUCAACGUAGGCGGUCUGUCCUCUCCACCAGCCUCCGGUCUCUCCUGCGGGGGUCCAACAAGGUUUCUUUCCACUGAUAUGCUGACGACACACAACUGUAUCUUCCCCGGUCCACUUUAUUCAGUCUCACGAAUGGUCUCGAUGACAUAAAGUGUUGGAUGGCUCCAAACGUUCUAUGUGGUCCCCUGAAUCCAUCAAGGUGAUUACCAACAGUCUGGGCAACCGGUCCGCCCUCGUUAAACGUCCCGUCAUAUACCUUGCUGUGAUAUUUGGUUCCGCCUUUAAGAUGAGUCCGUGCUGUAAAGUUUGUUUUAUCCACCUUGACACCAAAAUGAAACCCCCUUUAUAUCCUCCCCCCCGGUGACUGUUGCUGCCCCCAGACUGUGGAACAGCACAUUAUUAAUAUAUAUUAUAUUAUUAUAUGCAGCAUUUCUCCAAACUCAUAUUUAAACUAAAAUUAGAAUGAAUCUAAUAAAGUAAGAAAAACUGAACUGCAUCGUCUUCAUACAAAUGUUCAGUUUUCAUCAUCCUGUCUCUCUCUCUCUGUCUCUCUCUCUCUCUCUCCCCAACCCACCUAGAGCCGGAGGAUCUGUCCUAGGUUUCUGCCUUUUAACAGGCAGUUUUUCCUUGCCCUUGUCUCCAAGUGCUUGCUCAUGGUGGUACUGUUGGGUCUCUGUAAUUAAUGUUAAAGAGUUCGGUCUAGACCUGCUCUAUUUGAAAAGUGUCCUGAGAUAACUUCUGUUAUGAAUUGGUGCUAUACAAAUAGAAUUGAAUCAUCCUCAUCCUCAGGAAGGUGAAAGGAGCUGAUGAGCUGUCAGAAUAAAAGCAUGAUGAGGAGCUCCCCCUGCUGUCUGCUGGCUGUAACUCAUUCUGACCAAUCAGGUCUCAGUGAGCAGCAACUGAACCUGGAUCAGACUCACACAACAUCAAUACAGAAAAACUGACCUUUCACAAUAAAAUACCAUUUUCUGUCCCGGACCUUUACACAAAUAUCACUGUGGAAAAUAAAAUGUUAUUGGAACAAUUACACCUUCUUUUACCAUCAGUGAGUCAAUAAUAGUUGUUUUUUUAUAGAGACCACAGUCACAGGGAGGACCAGAGCCGGAGGACAUAAAGGUCACACCGACCCUCAUCCAACAGACACACAGGAAACAGCAUCAGUCCAUUAUUAGAGAUACUGAUGGAUGUAAUCAGCCUAUAAACAUGUAAUAAAGGUUUAUUUAAGUCA